rnacentral:sRNA from 1 species
ACGUGGCUCGCGCCUUUGGCGCGUUGCGAGAGCGGAUCAGCCGGAGAGUGCCGCGCAUGGAAAAACCCCGGCCGUC